rnacentral:rRNA from 1 species
AUACGGAGGGGGUUAGCGUUGUUCGGAAUUACUGGGCGUAAAGCGCACGUAGGCGGAUUGGAAAGUUGGGGGUGAAAUCCCAGGGCUCAACCCUGGAACUGCCUCCAAAACUAACAAUCUAGAGUUCGAGAGAGGUGAGUGGAAUUCCAAGUGUAGAGGUGAAAUUCGUAGAUAUUUGGAGGAACACCAGUGGCGAAGGCGGCUCACUGGCUCGAUACUGACGCUGAGGUGCGAAAGCGUGGGGAGCAAACAGGAUUAGAUACCCCUGUAGUCC